UGAAAUGAAAAAGCGUUGUACGCCCGGGUCAAGGCUACUUCUGACGCUUCCUUCUUGCGGUAGUUUUCUUGACCACAUCAAGGCCAGUGAACAACAUAAAACCGCACAAAUGCAGACUUCUUGGUUAAACGUGGCUUUGUUUUCAUCUUUGCAUGUUGUGCUGUUUUUGUGGGCUUUCCAAGAUGUCGUGGAAGCAGCUAGCGGGAGAGGAUUUGGGGAUAACAUCAACUGGAGGACGUUGGAAGAUGGCAAAAAUGAGGCAGAGGCCAGUGGGCUGCCUAUCAUGGUAAUCAUCCACAAGACCUGGUGUGGAGCUUGCAAAGCGCUGAAACCCAAAUUUGCACAGUCUAAGGAAAUCUUGGAGCUUGCCCACAACUUUGUGAUGGUCAACCUGGAGGACGAAGAGGAGCCAAAGGACGAGGCCUUCAGUCCCGAUGGCGGCUACAUUCCUCGCAUCCUUUUCCUCGAUUCUAGUGGCCAAGUUCACCCUGAAAUCACCAACAAAAUGGGAAACCCCAACUACAAAUACUUUUACAGCAGCGCAGAGCAAGAUGCCGUCUGAUGGUUAUUGCGCUGCAGUCGGCACCAGUAAGGGCCUUAAUGUGGGUGGAAGACCGCCCUGUGUCUUGAUGGGCAACCAAUUGGAUCCUCCGGCUCAGCGCAGUGGUGUCUGGGAUGAAGGAGGCGCAGGAGAAGCUGACAGGCGACACCUUCAAUCGCAGCCACACUGGAGACGAGCUGUGAGGAGGUGGCGAGCGUCAAGCUGCAAGGGCUACACCUCCUACAUCACCAAACCACACCCCUUUGGAAAGGUCAUUCAUUCAACUAUCCAACCAUGAACGCUGUUUUUCUUGUUAGGAUCUUAUUGAUGAUAAUAAUAAUAAUAAUGCUCUUUUUUUACAUUUUGGAUAUUUGUAAUAUGCAGAACUAUGAUUGUCUGUUGCGGAUAGAAUGAAACCACAGGAGACUUUAAAGUGCCAAAUGCUUGGCCUCUUUGAUGCACAAUGAUGAUUAUUGUUAUUAGAGCACUUUCACGUAGUACUGUAGACUCAUGUGCUCAUUUCCACAAAAUACAAACUCUUAAUGUUAUGAGCCAAAAGCCACGGCCACUUCUACAAGCUAAUAAAGCUGUUGAUGCUUCCAAAGAUGAUUCUGACGUCUAGAUUUUCAUUUUUGCCAAAAUGUGAAUUUAAUGUGGUACAUUUUUGUUGUUACUUCUGCACAGGGUGAAAAACAUUGUUUUAUACACGAUAUACACGUGCAAAUUAAACAAAUUGCUCUAGUGAACACUUUGGGCUAAAUAUUACACUGCAGAUUGGAGUGGAGUUGACCAAAUUUUAUUGUCCAAAAACAUUGGCAAUUCCCUUAUUCUCUUAUUGUUUUCCAACACACUAAAUAGUUUACAGGCACACCAUAAAUCAUUAAUCUUGAUAGCCAGGACAAAUGUUGCCUUCAAGUGCAUCUUUUAGCUGGAAAUGACACAAGAACGUUGCUGUAAAAUGUUCCUAAUUAAAACUAAAUUUACAUUUGGAUACAUCUGGAUUGGAUGUCAGAGCUCAUUGAGUCAUAUACAGUAUAUACAGUUGUCCUAUGCAAUGUCACGGUUUGAUUAUCGCUCCCUCACUAUAACGCAGUAAUUCAGAUACAAAAAUGAUCACUGUUUUAUGGUAGACUGUCUAUUAUUAGUCCAAACCUAUCGAAAUACAAGUGAUAUGUAGUAUUCUGGUCACUAGGCGGCAGACACAAGACAUUGAGACCUGACAUUACAUUACCUUAACACUGCAUGAAGACAUGAUGGAGUUUAAAAAAAAAAAAGUUCUCCUCCCAUUCUGUGUGGAAGUGGUAAGUUUUUUGGCUUCUUAUGUUCAGAAGAAGUAAAUUCAAGGCUAACUGGUUAGCUCACGGCCGUCUCGAGUCCCUGCAGCAUAACAGUUGAGCAAUGUGUUGUAAACAAAGGAUAAUAGGAGUGUGAAGGUGACUAUAGGGGUGUUAUUUCAUGUCUACAGGGCUCUAACAAUGUUAAAAACCAUAUUUAGAAAGAGCAUAGAAAACUUGUUUGUCUAACUACGAAAAUAAAACAUUGAAUACUAUAUCGCGGGAAUUAAUUUAUCACGGUCAGAUCUGGAAUCAAUCGCGAUAAACAAGGGAUGACUUUCUUUCAAGGAAAAAAACUGCCUGCAUGUCAGCUUUGUGUUCUAAGUGACAAAGCGUAUUAUUAUCAGUAGUAGUAAUAGCAGUAGUGGUAGUUUUCUUGUUUAAUUGUAUGUUUUUUUUUGUUUUGUUUUUUAGAAUGUGCCGCAGGCCACAAAUGGCCCUCAAGACAAAUGCUGAACACCAAUGUUAAAGUUUAGUUAGCUUUUUCUUUAGUUUCUUUUGUAAUGCCACCACAGAGAGGUACCACUGAUGGCAAAGAGGGGAAAUGUGAUGGUAAUAGUAGAACAGGAAAGGAACGAUGGAACAAUCCAACUGAAGCAGUUGUUCUCACUUAUUUUCUGUCAUGCCUGUCCUAGGGGAUGUAAAUGUUUUCACUCUACCCCGAUUUGAAAUACUAUUGAGAAACUGAUAUCUAUUUAUUUAUCUGUACUGUACAGACUGAACUCGAAACUGAAACACCAGGAAAAUGCAACAAAAUGGAGAGUAUGCAAGAGUCAAAUUGCAUGUUGAGUACGAAAAAUUUGUACAUGUUGGCAGCUCUCCAGCAAUAGUGAAAGUACUCCCUGCCUCUCAUGACCCCCCCUGAUAGUUAUCGCAUCCUCCCCCAGAUUAUGCAGAUAUGUCCAUAGAGAUUGCUAUUCACGGGUAUCCACGGGCCAUUUUUGUUUUUUUAUUGGCACUCGUCAUAUUGUAUGAAUUGUAUGACUAAAAUGGAUAAAUUAUGAUUAAGAGCUACACAGUAUAUAUAAUUAGCUUUGUGGUGUGCAAGACAAAGCUAAAAUGUAGCUAUUUUGUUGAGAUAAAGGAAUAGUUCGGAUUUUUUUGACAUGAAGUUGUAAUGACAUCAUCAGCAGUGUACUACAGCAACAGUGGCUUACCCCCCAAUGGGUCCCGUGAGUCCAGUUCUGGUCGGAGAUCCGUGACGAGGAAUGUAAUUCCACUUAGUUGCUGGGGCCAUUUAAGUAAAGAGUUUGGCUUCUCAAAACAAUAUGCAUUCAAAAGAGUAACACAUUUGCAUCACAAAAAUGCCUCCUCAAAAAAAUUAGACCUCACAAAUUGCUCAGCGUCAUAUUUGUCUCCCGCCGUAUGCUUGGGCACUGUCGCCUGUGCAUUCAGGUGUAUGUGAUGAAGACGCUCGCGGUAAUGCCACUAUUCUUCCGCGGCCAUCUUGUUUACAUAUGUGUUCCACAGCGAGACAAGACGCAAGCAUCUUCAUCACCUACACAUGAAUGCACAGGCGACAGUGCGCAGGAAUACGACGGGAGAAAAAUCUAAUGCCGAGCAUUUUGUGAGGUCUGAUGCCAAACCCUUUACUUAAAUGGCCCCAGCAAGAAAGAGAUCUCCGACUAGAACUGGACUCCCGGGACCAAUUGGGGGUGUAAGUCACUGUUGAUGUUGUACACUGCUGAUGGGGAUGUCUUACAACUCAUGUAAAAAAAUCCGAGCUAUCCCUUUAAGUGUAUAAAUUGGCCUACCUGGAUUGCUUACAGCAUCUUGAGUGCACAAAAUGUAUGAAUAAUAUGUCUUGUGUCAAUUUAACUUAAAAGCCAUAAUAUGGGAAAAUAUGUCCUGAGAAUGAAUCAGUUUGGUGUUAAGUGUACAUGCAUGGGAGACUUUGGAUGGAGCUUAUCACAUUCCAGACAUUUCCCUGUAUUACAGCAGAUUAAUUAUGCCUACAGUAAAUAGUGAGGUGAAGACAAAGACAACUAAGGACUACAAAGUCCAUCUGUGUGAAGAAAUUUCAAUCUCUUUUGUUAUUUGUGCUGCAAGUCUCCAGACCAGGAAAGACACGGCACCACGGACUUCAACCAUUGCUCCAAAAAUGACAGCCCACAAAUCUUACACAUGAAAAAACAAUAAAAAGUUGUGUGAUCUUGGCAUUUCAAAUGAUACAGCUAGCAAGUGUUUUUAAAAAUGCAGUUAAAGAUUCGGUACCAUGCAGGAGGAGGGGUCCGUUCACGUGUCACAGACCUUUAACAGUCUCUGCCAGCAACAAGACUUGGCCCCGCCCUCACUAUCACGACUUGGGCUUCCUCCAGGAUUAAAAAAAAAAAAAAAAGUUGCACUAGGAUAAAAAGAGAUGUGUGUUUGGGGGGUGGGAACCUAGAACCUUCCAUGCUUGGCAUCUCCGAUGGCGCCCCACACGUCAAAGACAAACUCAUCUGGGAAGGCAAAGUCGCCGAGAGUCUCGUCCAGUGCCAUGGCAAACUCGUCCGGGUUCUUCUUGUCACGGCCCACCUCCACCAUGGUGGCAGCUAAACAAAAACAAUCAAUAUACAGGAUCUUUGAUCAGCUACUGACAAACAUCACAGAUCUUGGACCAGAUAUUUAUAAACAGCAGGGAGCUCCUGUCAUAUGGAAGACCUUUGACCAGCUACUGACCAACAGCAGAGCGCCCCUGUCAUGAUCUUGGACCAGAUACUUAAAAACAGCAGGGUGCUCCUGCCAUCUAGAGGAUCUUUGAUCAGCUACUGACAAACAGCACAGUUCUCCUGUCAUGUAGAGGAACUUGGACUGGGUACAUACGGUAAACAGCAAGGAGUUCCUGUUGUGUAGAGCAGUGGUUCCAAAACUUGCCAGUCGCAUACCCCAUCAGACAUUUGACUUGAAGCCAUGUGCCUCCUACAUCUGCACACUUAAUAUAUAAACCUUUUUUUAAUCUUCAAUAACCUAAAAUAUUGAACAUGAUUAAUUAAUUUUAUAGUAAAUAAGUCAUUCUGGUUAAAAAAUGUGUAUUUUGCAUGGUCAAAGUUUGAUAAAAGUUUUUACAUGAGCACUGAUAAAUUGAUAAGUAUUCGUCCUACAUUUCUUUUAUUUCAGAUGUUGGGAUCCUUCGGUUUGAAGGGUUGACCUUUGAAGCUUUACUUUUGUCUACUCAUAAUGGCCAUAAUUUAAGUCUGCAUGAUAGUUUGAUACCAAAUUGAAAGGGAAAGUUUAACAAACAUGAUAAAGCAUACAUACAUUGGCAGGUUUUCAUUGUGCAGGGAUU